rnacentral:rRNA from 1 species
UGGGGAAUAUUGCACAAUGGGCGCAAGCCUGAUGCAGCCAUGCCGCGUGUGUGAAGAAGGCCUUCGGGUUGUAAAGCACUUUCAGCGGGGAGGAAGGCGUUAAGGUUAAUAACCUUGGCGAUUGACGUUACCCGCAGAAGAAGCACCGGCUAACUCCGUGCCAGCAGCCGCGGUAAUACGGAGGGUGCAAGCGUUAAUCGGAAUUACUGGGCGUAAAGCGCACGCAGGCGGUUUGUUAAGUCAGAUGUGAAAUCCCCGGGCUCAACCAGGGAACUGCAUCUGAUACUGGCAAGCUUGAGUCUCGUAGAGGGGGGUAGAAUUCCAGGUGUAGCGGUGAAAUGCGUAGAGAUCUGGAGGAAUACCGGUGGCGAAGGCGGCCCCCUGGACGAAGACUGACGCUCAGGUGCGAAAGCGUGGGGAGCAAACAGG